rnacentral:rRNA from 1 species
UACGGAGGAUCCAAGCGUUAUCCGGAAUUACUGGGCGUAAAGAGUUGCGUAGGUGGCAAUAUAAGUUAGUAGUGAAAGCGUGCGGCUCAACCGCAUACACAUUACUAAAACUGUAUAGCUUGAGCAUAGUAGAGGUACCUGGAAUUCCUAGUGUAGGAGUGAAAUCCGUAGAUAUUAGGAGGAACACCGAUGGCGUAGGCAGGGUACUGGGCUAUUGCUGACACUAAGGCACGAAAGCGUGGGGAGCGAACGGG